rnacentral:lncRNA from 1 species
UGGAGCAAACUUGACGUGCCAGAUCCCAAGCCAGAGACUGCCUCAGUCCCCACGGGAGUGGCAGAGACGGCGGGUCCCUGCCAGCCCCCAGCCAGGCCACAGUGGCCUGCUGGGAAAUUGGCACCUGCUCCCCGCCAGCUGCUGGUUUUCUCGAGGGCGCGCUGGGUGCCAACUGCUUCGACUUGUUUGGAAUGGAAAUCUCCCCUUCCUGAUACUAUUGUCACUGGUACGUCCCCCCAGAAGCGGGGAUCUGGACGUGCCGCGGCAGCAGCAGCCUGCCCUCCCGGGGCAUGAACAAGCCCAUCUGUUUCCACUUUGGAUGUGGCGGAGGCUCAGGGCGAGGGCUGCCGUCUGAGCCCACAGAUGCUGAGCAGAGGCGGGGGACAGCACCCACGGCACCCACGGUGGGAGAAGUGCUUGGAUGGAGACAGCCACCGCUGUGGGGCUGAGGCCAGGGCGCCCCGGCCAGCCCCCCACAGCUGCACAGGUUUGGGGUCCCAGAAGCUCUUCUUCCUGAUUGCCACAGAGGCCAAUAUGGGCUCCCUGACUUUGCACCCCUCUGGCUUCCCUGCAGGUCCUCGGGACCCCCGGCCUGCCAAGCCCAGCUCCAGCCUGCCCCCCUGAAGCUGCCCAGACCCCGUGCUGUGGCACCACAUGGUGGGUUUAGGACAGGGCAUGCCCUUGCUCAAGGUUGAGCACAAACCUCAGAGACCCACAGCCCCAGGUUGUCUCCCACCUACCCUGUCCACCUGUGUCACCUCCGGGUCCUAUGCACAGCAGGGGCUCUGUGGGCUCCAGACCUCAGAGAGGAGGAGGGGCUUGUCAAUACUUGACUGGCAGGUGCAUCCUAAGUAACAUCGUAUUUCAGGAUCAAAUUACGUUGCAUGCACAUACAAAGGUGGCAUAGUGAAUCCCACCCCUGUGCCUGACUGUGAUGCACCAACAGAAAAUCAACUGAAGAGACAGACUCACGUGGCCCUCUGGGCAGUCUUGGCAGGAGGCUGAAUGAGGUGCCCAACCUGAACCCCAUGGUGGGGAGCUGGCAGGGAGCUGCUGCCCCACGUCUGCAUCUUCAGCCCAAGGCCAGGUGACCAUGCUCCUCCACGCCCUACCCCCCACCCCGGCUCCAAUGGGGCAAAGGACCCCCAGAGCAGCCCCCGCCCCAGGGAGCCCAGAGAGGGCUGGGAGCCCCAAGGACCAGGUUGCCAUGGAAUCACGAGGGUCUUACUCUCCACCAGGGACCCAAGCCAGGUGUCAGCAAAUUCCAGCAGUUAACAUGUCCUGUGACAAAAAUGGCCCUGGCUGGAGAAAGGAGCCCUAGAAUUUCCUAGGACGAAAUUUCAAAAAGCAAAGCUGUCACAGAAAUCCAGAUAUGUUUAUCCUCAAGGAGAGGGGCUGCGGGGCUUGCCGACCGUGGGGCUCCCAGGAGGUCGGUCCCCGCCCGGAUCACUCCUGGCCUGCCCCAUUCUGGCCUCCACAAAGCCAUCCCAGUCCUCCUCACCCAAGGCCAGCGUCAGCUCUGGAGCCCGCCCCCUCUGGUCACCCCCUGGUGGGAAGUGGCUCACAGGGGAGGGGGCCUCUGUCACCUGGGGUCUGGCAGCUGGUUUGCCUUUCCUAGGAUUGCUUGGGCAGCCCUGGGCAGGCAGGCAACCUUUCCAUCGGGCCACCUUGGCCAGGACGUAGGAGUCCCACUGUCCUGCAGGAGGGACCCCUUUGUGGCUCCCCACCCAGUAGAGGGGAGGGGCGGCUGGUGGCUUCCUCCCGGCAGGGUGAGGAAGGGCUCCGUGUCAUUAAUCCCCUGGGGUGAGUCCCCCAGCUCCCGCUGAGCUGGCCCCUGCUCCAGCAGCCAGGGCCUCGAUCCCAGGUGCAUGACUGUCACCAAGAUAAAAGAGACAUAAUUAAAUUCCAAUCAACUGGGUGAUUUGUUAUCAUAAUGUAAUAUUUCCCUCCAGCCCCUUAAUCCCACAGAUCUGCCUCCGCCAGGGCUGCGGGUGGGGGUCCCUGCCACUCUGGGCCCAGCUGCUGGAGCCCCUGCCCCCACACACUCGCCCUCCCCCAACGCCAAGCCCUGAAGGUGAUAAUGAAGUCAUUUUUCUGAGGAAUGCUCACCUGGAAGACAGCUUGUCCUCCGGCCAGCCAGCUAAUCGGCUAAUCGAGCUGGGGAGGCAGGCCCAGGGGCAGUGGGGUGAGCAGGGCGGGCCCUGAUGCGUGCUGUGCUGGGAGCCUGCUGCCCCGUAGGGGGGGGCCGUGUGGAGCCUCCAGCAGAGACCCUGCCCGUUGGCCAGUGUGCACAGGGAGGGGAACACGGGACCUGGCGCCAGGGUCCCGGGAGAGAUGGAUCUGCUCUGUCGCAGCACGGCUGAGGCGGAGGGCAGAGCCUGGGCUCACACGGGGCCACUGUGCCACCUUCCUGGGGCCUCAGCUCCCCGUCUUUGAGGUGAGCCUCCUAACGCUGGGCCACUUGAGGAGGGGGAGCCCCGAGCCAGGAGGCAGAGGCCGUCUCCCUGCCUCCCUGGGGCCUGUGUUAGAGAGGCCGAGGGGCCACCCUGAGGGGGGCAGGGCUCCUGGGGAGGAGGUCACUUUGUUUACACCUCUCGCCCAUUCUGUGGCUUCCACGUUUUCUAGAUACGGGUCUGUCGACUGUCACGGGGUGGGAGCCCGAGCUCUGGGUGGCUGGGCAGGCUGAGGACCCAGGCAGCUCGGAGCUCAUCCUGGGCAGGCCUGCCGGCCACAGGGUGCAGGGCACAGGGGCUGUCAGUGGCAGCAGGACCCCUAGACAGCAGCUCCCAUACCUCUCCUGGGCCUGCACAGCUCGGGUGUGGACUGGUCACCUCUGAGACCCCAUCUUCAGCAAUGCAGCCUUCCCUCCAAGCUGCAGGGCCAAGGAAGUCACCUGCUUGCCCUUCCUCCUACCUGAUUCUCCCAACACCCGGGGACAGGGAGAAGGAAACAAGGCCAGAGUGGGUGCCCAAAGCCACACGGCUCUGAGCGCCAGAGCUGGGGUUCGACUGCAGUGGAAGGACCCCAGAGCUGGGCUCUCGACCUCCCCAAAGGUUGCACCUGUCUGAUCGAGGUCUGCACAAGCUUCGCUGCUGGGAAAAGUGAUGGACGCACAUUAGGGACAGGAAAUGGACACUGUGUCCAAGUCACACCAUUGAGGAAAUAAUGAAAAACAACCCACAUUUUGACUCAAGGGAUUAUGAUGCAAUUUCUCAAUAAACAU